CUUGAUUGGGAUAUUUCUUGGCAUCCGAGCUCCGUUGGCACCCCAUUUCAUCACUCGUUUCCGCAUAUGCUAAGAACCAGAUGGGAGAGAAUACCCAAUGCGAGAGAACGAUCGCAAGGAGAUCGAUGAAGAGGACACCAUGGAGCAGAUUCCCUCGGCGGCAUCCACCCAAGAUCACAGUACAUUGUGGGACUAGGAGCUAGGAAGUAAGAGCAAAAGAUAUAUGCGUGACUGGUUACAACAUGGCCCAGUUUGUGGGCCAUUGAUGUUGAGAAUUCCAGUGAGGAUAACUAUUUUCAGGUAGUUCUGGUGCAACGCGUUUAGUUCUGUUCUAUAUGGGCAACAAAAGUGUGUUUCCAAUUUAUUAUCACCUAACUCUGUUUUCUACCAGGUCGUGUAUGGCCAGAAGAUAAAUGUGUGACUGGCCACAACAUGGCUUAUUGUACAAGUUAUUAAUGUUGAGGUUAGCUUUCAGGCUAAUUCUAGUGCACUGUGCUUAGGUUAUGUGUUGUAGGAUCAGUGGGUUUUGGUAUAGCCUUAAUGCAUCUUGCUGUUAUGUAGUCAAAUAUCCUGUUAUUCUUGAGAAAUGCUAUUUUGUUGUA